rnacentral:rRNA from 1 species
AUUGUACGCUGGCGGCAGGCCUAACACAUGCAAGUCGAACGAGUGGCGGACGUGUGAGUAAUGUCUGGGAAACUGCCUGAUGGAGGGGGAUAACUACUGGAAACGGUAGCUAAUACCGCAUACCCUCCGAUCUGCCCAGAUGGGAUUAGCUAUUAGGUGGGGUAAAGGCUAACCUAGGCGACGAUGCCUAGCUGGUCUGAGAGGAUGACCAGCCACACAGGAACUGAGACACGGUCCAGACUCCAACGGGAGGCAGCAGUGGGGAAUAUUGGACAAUGGGGGCAGGCCGGAUAAAGCCAGGCCGGGUAUAUGAAGAAGGCCUUCGGGUUGAAAAGUACUUUCAGCGAGGAGGCGUUAAACGAAGAAGAAGCACAGGCUAACUCCGUGCCAGCAGCCGCGGUAAUUC